rnacentral:rRNA from 1 species
GAUGAACGCUGGCGGCGUGCCUAAUACAUGCAAGUCGAGCGAACAGACGAGGAGCUUGCUCCUCUGACGUUAGCGGCGGACGGGUGAGUAACACGUGGAUAACCUACCUAUAAGACUGGGAUAACUUCGGGAAACCGGAGCUAAUACCGGAUAAUAUAUUGAACCGCAUGGUUCAAUAGUGAAAGACGGUUUUGCUGUCACUUAUAGAUGGAUCCGCGCCGCAUUAGCUAGUUGGUAAGGUAACGGCUUACCAAGGCAACGAUGCGUAGCCGACCUGAGAGGGUGAAUGGCCACACUGGAACUGAGACACGGUCCAGACUCCUACGGGAGGCAGCAGUAGGGAAUCUUCCGCAAUGGGCGAAAGCCUGACGGAGCAACGCCGCGUGAGUGAUGAAGGUCUUCGGAUCGUAAAACUCUGUUAUUAGGGAAGAACAAAUGUGUAAGUAACUAUGCACGUCUUGACGGUACCUAAUCAGAAAGCCACGGCUAACUCCGUG